GGUUCGAUUCUGGCUCGAUUGAACGCUGGCGGGAUGCUUUUACACAUGCAAGUCGAACGGCAGCAUGGACUUCGGUCUGGUGGCGAGUGGCGAACGGGUAUAGUCGUAUCGGAACUGCCUAGUAGCGGGGGAUAACCACGCGAAGGUAGCUAAUACCGCAUAUUGCCCUUCGGGGGAAAGCGGGGACCUUCGGGCCUCGCACUAUUAGGGUUACUGAUAUCGGAUUAGCUAGUUGGUGGGUGCAACGGCUCACCAAGGCGAUGACCGUGGCUGGUUUGAGAGGACGACCAGCCACACUGGGACUGAGACACGGCCCAGACUCUACGGAUAGGCAGUGGGGAAUUUUGACAAUGGGGAAACCUCGAUCCAGCCAUCCCAUGCGGCGACGAAGGCCUUCGGGUUGUAAAGCACUUUUGGCAGGAAAGAAACGGCACGGGAUAAUACCCGUGCAACUGACGGUACCCAGCAGAAUAAGCACCGGCUAACUACGUGCCAGCAGCCGCGGUAAUACGUAGGGUGCAAGCGUUAAUCGGAACGCCAUCGGGCGUAAAAGCGUGCGCAGGCGGUUGAAAGAAAGAUGCGAAACCAGAGCUGGCAACUUGAACCGCAUUUUAACUACCGAGUAGAGUGUGUCAGAGGAGGUGGAAUUCCGCGUAGCAGUGAAAUGCGUAGAUAUGCGAGUGGAACACCGAUGGCGAAGCAGUCUCCGAUAACACUGACGCUCAUGCACGAGCAUGUGGGGAGCAAACAUAUCGAUAAUUCUCCUGGUAGUCCACGCCCUAAACGAUGUCAACUAGCUGGGGCCUUCGGGCCUGGUAGCGCAGCUAACGCGUGAAGUUGACCGCCUGGGGAGCUGGAUCAUGAUUACAACCCAAAGAAUUGACGGGGACCCGCACAAGCGGUGGAUGAUGUGGAUUAAUUCGAUGCAACGCGAAAACCUACCUACCCUUGACAUGUCUGGAAUCCCGCGAGAUUUGGGAGGUCACAGAACCAAACACAGGUGCUGCAUGGCUGUCGGUCGUCCGUGUCGUGAGAUGUUGGGUUAAGUCCCGCAACGAGCGCAACCCUUGGUCAUUAGCUGCUACGAAAGGGCACUCUAAUGACUGCCGGUGACAAACCGGCGAAGGAUGACGUCAGUCCUUGCCGUGGCCUCGGUAUGGGGCUUCACACGUCAUACAAUGCUGUCACAGAGGGUCGUCAACCUGAGGGAGUCAAUCCGGCAGAAACCCGAUCAACCGGAUCGCGUCUGCAACUGACUGCGUGAAGUCGGAAUCGCUAGUAAUCGCGGAUCAGCAUGUCGCGGUGAAUACGUUCCCGGGUCUUGUACACACUGCCUGUCACACCAUGGGAGUGGGUUUUACCAGAAGAGCCAGGUCAACCGUAAGGAGGGCGAUUACCACGGUAGGAUUCAUGACUGGGGUGAAGUCGUAACAAGGCAG
rnacentral:rRNA from 1 species